UACGAAGGGGGCUAGCGUUGCUCGGAAUUACUGGGCGUAAAGCGCGCGUAGGUGGCCCCGUAAGUCCGCUGUGAAAGUCAAAGGCUCAACCUUUGAAAGCCGGUGGAUACUGUGGGACUAGAGUACGGAAGAGGCGAGUGGAAUUCCUGGUGUAGCGGUGGAAUGCGCAGAUAUCAGGAGGAACACCAAUAGCGAAGGCAGCUCGCUGGGACGUUACUGACGCUGAGACGCGAAAGCGUGGGGAGCAAACAGG
rnacentral:rRNA from 1 species